ACGGUUUUCCACCGUACCGAAACCUAGCAGAGGGCCAGUCUGGUGCCAGCAGAUGCGGUAAUUCCAGCUAUGCGAGUUUGCUCCCAUAUUGUUGCAGUUAAAACGCCCGUAGUCUGAAUUGGCCAGCAAUGGUCGUACGUAUUUUUACGUUCACUGUGAACAAAUCAGGACGCUUAGAGUAUGGCCACAUGAAUGACUCAGCGCAGUAUGAAGUCUUUGUUUUCUUCCGAAAACAAGCUCAAUGAGAGCCAUCGGGGGUAGAUCUAUCUCAUGACGAGUGGUGGAAUACUUUGACUCAUGAGAGAGAAGCUGAGGCGAAGGCGUCUACCUAGAGGGUUUCUGUCGAUCAAGGGCGAGAGUAGGAGUAUCCAACAGGAUUAGAGACCCUGGUAGUUCCUACCUUAAACGAUGCCGACAGGAGUUUGUCAUUUGUUAAUGGCAGAAUCUUUGGAGAAAUCAUAGUUCUUGGGCUCUGGGGGAACUACGACCGCAAGGUUGAAACUUGAAGGAAUUGACGGAAGGGCACACCAGGGGUGGAGCCUGUGGCUUAAUUUGAAUCAACACGGGGAAACUUACCAGGACCAGAUGUUUUUUAUGACUGACAGGCUUCGGGUCUUUCAGGAUAUUGUUUUUGGUGGUGCAUGGCCGUUGGUGGUGCGUGGGUUGACCUGUCUAGCGUUGAUUC
rnacentral:ncRNA from 2 species